rnacentral:tRNA from 1 species
AGCUUUAUAGUCAAUGAAUGAUAUUAGACUGCAAUUCUGAAGGUGUAUAAUAUACUAAAGCUU